rnacentral:rRNA from 1 species
GGUCAAGCGAACAAGUGCAUGUGGUGGAUGCCUUGGCGAUCACAGGCGAUGAAGGACGCGGUAGCCUGCGAAAAGCUACGGGGAGCUGGCAAACAAGCUUUGAUCCGUAGAUGUCCGAAUGGGGAAACCCACUCCUUUUGGAGUAUCCAUAGCUGAAUACAUAGGCUAUGCGAAGCGAACGCGGUGAACUGAAACAUCUAAGUAACCGCAGGAAAAGAAAUCAACCGAGAUUCCCAAAGUAGUGGCGAGCGAAAUGGGAUGAGCCUUGCACUCUUUAUUUGUAUUGUUAGCCGAACGC